rnacentral:lncRNA from 1 species
UCAUAUGGUCAGUGGCUGCAGAAUCUAAUAUCCAGUAUUGUUUAAAGGGUAUAUCUGAGACAUUAAGUCUAAACGAAAAUGGAAGUUGUCAAAUGGAAAAAAUAAUAGAAACGUGCAUGGACGUGUUAAAGUACAAGUACAUGUUGGUUUCUCUAACUUACUGAGGAUAGAUCUCACUUUUUCUACUUCACUUAGGUUAAGGUGCACCCCUCUAGAUUGUCUCCUCUGGUACUUCCAG